rnacentral:rRNA from 1 species
UACGUAGGGUGCAAGCGUUAAUCGGAAUUACUGGGCGUAAAGCGUGCGCAGGCGGUUUUUGUAAGUCUGUCGUGAAAUCCCCGGGCUCAACCUGGGAAUGGCGAUGGAGACUGCAAGGCUAGAAUCUGGCAGAGGGGGGUAGAAUUCCACGUGUAGCAGUGAAAUGCGUAGAGAUGUGGAGGAACACCGAUGGCGAAGGCAGCCCCCUGGGUCAAGACUGACGCUCAUGCACGAAAGCGUGGGGAGCAAACAGG